rnacentral:ncRNA from 2 species
CCAAAUCCUAAGGGGUGGCAACCCAUUGCCUGAGAUGCGCCGUGCGCGAACCCUUUGAACCUGAUCCGGUUGAUACCGGCGUAGGAAUAGGAAGCUCACAACGC